AGUGAACGCUGGCGGUAGGCCUAACACAUGCAAGUCGAACGGCAGCACAGUAAGAGCUUGCUCUUACGGGUGGCGAGUGGCGGACGGGUGAGGAAUAUAUCGGAAUCUACUUUUUCGUGGGGGAUAACGUAGGGAAACUUACGCUAAUACCGCAUACGACCUACGGGUGAAAGCAGGGGAUCUUCGGACCUUGCGCGAUUGAAUGAGCCGAUGUCGGAUUAGCUAGUUGGCGGGGUAAAGGCCCACCAAGGCGACGAUCCGUAGCUGGUCUGAGAGGAUGAUCAGCCACACUGGAACUGAGACACGGUACAGACUCCUACGGGAGGCAGCAGUGGGGAAUAUUGGACAAUGGGCGCAAGCCUGAUCCAGCCAUACCGCGUGGGUGAAGAAGGCCUUCGGGUUGUAAAGCCCUUUUGUUGGGAAAGAAAAGCAGCAGGUUAAUACCCCGCUGUUCUGACGGUACCCAAAGAAUAAGCACCGGCUAACUUCGUG
rnacentral:rRNA from 1 species